GACACAAUACGAUGGACCAGCUGAUCCUAGAACUAAAAAUCCUGCCAUGCAACCCAAUUCCGAUAAGACAACCGAGAAGGAGAGUAAACCAAAAGAAAAGGGGGAUAGUGGAGAGGAAACCAAAGAGAAAGAGAAACCUUACGUUCCUCCCCCACCAUAUAAACCACCCAUCCCGUAUCCUCAAAGAUUAGUACAAUCCAAAAACGUAGGG
rnacentral:lncRNA from 1 species